CGGCUCUUCAUGUUUGGAGCAGUGGCUCCAUGACGUCGUCGAGGCUAGCGACGCAAAGACUACGAUUCAAAAUCCCGUUGAAUUUGUAUCCACAUCAACGCAAAACAAUACAACAUCUGGAGUUUGCGCAUGAAAUUUCAAGUUCCGUACCUCCCUCAUUCUGAAGAAAGCCAUGCCUGUCAAUAGUGAAUCUGAGCCUGCCUGGUGCUGUCGUCCAAUUCGCUCCAACUCAAGCUGUUCAGCAACUUCUUGUAGACCACCCUGUGGAAAAUGGCAACUAACUGUUAAAUGUUAUUUGCCCACACCUCACGGAUUAUCUGACUAUGAUCUUCUUCUGCAGCUGGCAUUUUGAAGAGGUUACCAAAGUGGGCUGAUGGGCACUGGAAAAAACAAAGAACAAAACUGAUUAGGUCAUGCUAACUGUAGCAGAUUCAAUGUGUGAGAUGCUAUUUCAUGCUUUGCUCAUGAUUUUGCGCUUGGACACUUUCUUCUUUAAAUAGCUGCUAUUGCAGAAGUCUGCAAAAUAAUCUCUCUAGCAGGUGGGAGAGAAAAACACAAGGGGAGGAAUAAAAAAGAAAAAAAAGCCACCCAAAUUGCAUAAGUUCACAGUAAUUAGUUUAAGACUCACAUAGGCAGUUUACAGAUCACAACCUGGUAUUGGCCAAAUUAGUAUUAACAGCAAUAACAUAUUUAGAUAUUUAACAAGCUCAAAGCAGAUUUUUUCUUAUAAAAUAACUUUUCAAAAUUAAAGUUGUCUUCUCUUCAGUUCCAUUAAGAGUACUCAUUUGAAUGCAACACUACCAGGAAUAUUUUACAGACUUGUGCAAAUCCAACCCAGUUCCUGUGUAUUUUUUUGAUAAUUUAAGGAAUAUAAAUUACUACAACUUAGAGGAAGAUUUAAGCAAGUUAAAAAGAUAACUUUUCCAUGAAAACAAAUAAAAAUAAGCGAUGAAUAUGAACAAAAAUGCUGAUUAUUUGGCUGUGUUUGGAUAACAUUCCCAGAUAAUCUUUAAACACAUCAAAAACAAUUAAGUUGAUACGUACUGUAAUUUUAAUAUAGUGUUAACUUAUCAUUUAUCUUUGAUUUGUUUGUCACUAUCUAAAUCUGUGAAAGAAUCCUCAAAUUUGUAUCAAUAUUUGAGAUUAAGAACUGGGGAAAGUAAAAAACCAUUUGGCCCUUUGGGCCUGAUUUGUCAUUCAGGAAAGUCAUGCUGAUCUUCAACCUCAACUCCAUCUUCCCACAUUGUUCCUGAAUCCCUCAAUUUUCUUAGUAUCUAAAAGCCAACCACAGCUUUGAAUGUACUUCAUAACCGAGCACCCAGAGACUUCUGAGAAUUCCAAACAGUCACAAUCCUUUCUGUGAAAAACCUUCUCACGUCAGUUCUAAAUGAGUGAUAAUUUAUUGAGACUGUGAUCCCGUGAUCUGAUUCUGCAGCCAGGAGAAAAUUUUCCCCUGCAUCUACCCUGCCAAGUCCUUUAAGAAUUCUAUAGUUCAAUUAGAUCAUGUCCAUUUUUCAAAACUUCAGGGAAAACAUGCUCAGUCCAUUCAAACUCUCCUCAUAAAAUAUCCUGUAUCCCAGGAACCAAUUUGAUAACAAACUCUAAAAAUGCCUACAAGUACUAUUGUGAUUAAAUCUGCAUGGUAUUCCAGUAUGACCUAAACAAUGCACUCUAAAAUUGCAGCAACACUAUUUAUUCUUAGAAACCAAUCUCCUUAUAACAAAAGUUAACAUAUCACUUGCCUCCCUCAUUGCUUCAGUCCUUGCAUGUUAAUUUUAUGAUUCAUUUACAGCAAGACUCUCAGAAUGCAAAUAUUUCCCAGUUUCUCACCAUGCAGAGAAUAUUCCACUUUAUUUCCCUAGCAAAGUGGUUAAUUUCACAUCUUGCCACAUUUUAUUUCAGCUGACAUGUUCAUCCAACUUCUUUAUAACAUGUCUUUUUGUGUCCUCCUCAUCACUCAAUUUCCCCUAUUUUUGCUGUCAUCAGCAAAUUUGGAUUCAUUUACCUCUGUCUCCUCACGUAAGUAAUGUUGAUUGUAAAUAGCCGAGAGCGAGCAAGUACUGAUCCUUAUACCAUUUAAUCUGUCAACAUCCAGUUUUUGGUUUAAUUCUACUGUUUUCUGUCCAUCUGGAAUCCACACUAACAUAGCACUCCAAUUCUGUAAACUAUUGAAUGUUAUAAAUUACAAGAAGUCCAUGAUUACUAGUCUAUUUACAAAGAGGCUGUACAACCAAAACUAUUUGACAACCAGUGUUCAUGAUGAGGUUUGCGUAGGUUUUAAAGGCUUCAAACUUCAGACAGGUUUUAGCCACUUUCUCUGAUUCACUAUUUUAGAGUAAGAUUGUGAAAACAUCUUGAUGCUCAUGGUGUGCAUGUUCCCAAGAGCAAUUUUUGGCAAGCUGCAUACAUCUAAUUUGUGAAAUACUUUACUACAGAAGGUUGCAGAGGCUGGUUCAUUAAGAAUAAGGGAAUCAGGGAUUAUGGGAAAAGGUAGGAAAGUGGAGUUGAGGUUUAUCAGAUCAACCAUGAUUUCAUUGAAUGGCCUGCUUCUUCUGCUCCAAUGUUUUAUGGUCUAUUGUGUAGCUAACUGCAUUUUGCAUUCAGCCAACUGUUU